AAACGGAUGCCAAAUUUUGUACGGGCUUAAGUAUGAUGAACCUUUGAAUGUUGCCCAAUGUGUUGCUCUCUCUACCAACUCAUUAAUUAAUUAAUUAAUCAAAGGAACGGUUCUAACUUCCGAUUCAAUUCCGGGGUGGUUGGAUGGAAGAACAGUCAAGGAUGCCAUACCCAGCAACAAUUUCAAUGUUUGAUCUUAGUUGUGCAUCCCCUAGUCUGGAAAAAUGCAUCUUCAUGGGAGCUUUCUAUCUAGCUUUUAGUACCCAUUAAAAAGCAUUGAUGACAAUAGCUAUACCUAAGCAUUCUAAUGAGUGAUAUUUCGAGGAAAAAAAAAAUUGAGACGACGCACCUGAUGAUUCUGGUUGAUUUGGUGCAGAUACUCCACAACUAUACUGCUCAGGCUGAUCAGCGCAAUAACAAGCAAAUAAACUAGUAUUCGUGUUGUAACCACAAGAUCCACCUGACAAAUUACACGUCUCACAAACGGAAUUAUUCGAAUCCCACUGCAACCCAAAACCUUUUUCCAGAGCUACAACCAAAUUAUCCUGGGUUAGACUGCUCUCUAAAGUACUAACGGAUGAUUGAGUCGCCGGAGCAAUAACUCUAUUGGCGCAGGAUCCCAAGUUGUUGAGUAUUGUAGCACUGAAGUUACCUAGGUUCCUAGUUAAAUAAAAACCUCCGCUGUCGCUGUUGUUUAAUGUGCAAGUGAACUGAGUGGAAAGCCCUGGAAUUCCGGCUAAUGGAUUUAAAAAUGAUGGCAGCUGGGGGCAACCAUAGUAUAGGGUUAUAUUCUGAAUAUCGGAAGCAUAACUGAAAAAGGAAAAAUCCAAAGUGGUGUUUAAAAGGAGGUUUGGACAGAUGCUUCCUAUGUAAUCUGUUCUAGCAACUUUAAGAUUAUGUGCCUCGCUGUUGACUUCAAGAACUUGGUAAGUUAAAUUCUUGAUGGUGAUCAGCGCCGCUUGGUCAGUGCAAUUAAGCCAGAAUUUCGGGUGGCCGCAAUAAUCAGGUCGGUUCGAUCCCCAAAAGGGAUAGCCGAUAUUUGUGAUGUUUCCGCAAUCAAAUGUUGCGGUGCAGUUCUGAUGUCGCUCAUCAACAGCAGACACAAACAGAGGACAGAGGACGAUUAUGGUUAUGAUGAAAAUCAAAGGCAUGGUUGGGAAGUGAUGGGGUUCCAUUUUCAGAGGCAGACAGGGAGAUGGAGAUCACAAACAAUUUGAAAGCAGUUUACAUAUGACAGAAGAAGAAGGAAAUCUAAUUUGAAAUUUGACAAAAAUGCUAAGAAAGGCAGAAAGCUUGCAAUUUCAGAUAAAAAAAUUUCUGCUCACAUAAUGAAAUCGGCUGCAAUUGACCAAGAAGUGCGUGAAAUUUAGCAGAGGAAGCUUCUAUUGAAUAGUUUAAUAUUGGACUUGGUUGGUAUACAAAUUGGAAAUAAUAUUUGCAGCAGUGACUAAGCACCUUAUUUUCCAAGCUUUUGUCGCAGGAAUCCUCAAAAGAUAGCUGCAAAACUCAAUACGCGGAAGCUCAAUGGGCCUCUUGGAGAGUCAAAAUAAAACACCCACUUUGAAAAUUUAGCCUAAUCGUAUAUUGAAAAUUAAGAAUUUCGAAAUACAUUUUGUAAAGAUUUUAUAAUUCAGAAACCAAUAAAGUCAAUAAACUAAGACCUACGUUUUUGAUAUAUUUUAAUCUAUUUUUUUGUAAAGUAUGUUUACGACUUGUAAGUUAAUUAAGAAAAACUUAGCUAUACACAUCAGCACAUAUAUAUAAUAAUACAAUGUCCUGCCCCAAAUAAAUGUUUUUCUUUGUUGUACAAAGGUUUGGUUGGUGUGUUUGGUAAAUAUGAAAUGGAAGACUAGAAGCAGGACUAAUUUCAUGAUGUGAAAGGAACUAUCCAAGAAGACGAAUUUCAAAGGGAUGGGAUGAAUGCUGCCUUUCAUCUGGGUUUUGUGGGGGUAAGUUCCCUA
rnacentral:misc_RNA from 1 species